UACAGGGGGUGCAAACGUUACUCGGAAUCAUUGGGCGUAAAGAGCGCGUAGGCGGUUUGAUAAGUCAAGUGUGAAAUCCCCAGGCUCAAUCUGGGAAGUGCAUUUGAUACUGUCAGGCUAGAGUAUAGGAGGGGAGAACGGAAUUCCUGGUGUAGAGGUGAAAUUCAUAGAUAUCAGGAGGAACAACAGUGGCGAAGGCGGUUCUCUGGACUAUUACUGACGCUGAGGCGCGAAAGCGUGGGGAGCAAACAGG
rnacentral:rRNA from 1 species